GGCAAACAAAUAAAAAAAAAGAAUGUAAAGAGUUUUUGUUGUAAUUUACUUUGACAAUACAUUAAUUAAUUAAAAUAAGAAAAAAGUUCCAAAAAAGAGAAAAAAGAUAAAUACAAAUAGAGGUCAUAGAGAGGUGCCACAUCACCUUAUUUAUGUUUGCCUUUAUUAUAUGUAUAUAUAUUUGAGCUUAUUUAAGUUUUGUGUGCACUUUACGUAUCUUGUUUUUUCCCCUCUUAAUGUAGGGGAUAAACCUUAAAGUCACUAAUAGUAAACAUUGAUUUCAGGGCUAACACAAUCGAAUUGGUUGAGGAAAAGGACCUCCAGUGACCAAGCACUCCCACCUUCAAAAGUGUAGAUCGAAAGAAUCUCCAAGUUAUAUAUUGAGGAUACAACUGGAAGCAUCCUUGACUUUGUUGUUCACAGUAGCAGCUUGCCAAGUAGGAGAAUGAGGACCGUCAGAUCGAGGGCAUGAAGGCUAUAACAUAGAGUUGGAGGCCUUAUUUCUGGGACAUCCAUUAAUCGGUUUCAUUCUGACAAUCGAGAUGGUUAGCUUGGGUGCUAAUGGUUUUUUUAAUUUUAAGCCACUUGUUGUUCAGUUACUGAAAAAUAAAGAACAAUUUUUUAAUCUGAGAGCUAAAAACAACCAUUCUCACUAAAUUAACUUAAAUCUGAAUUAAGAUUCAGAUCAAAUCUUUACCAAAAUAAAAUUUCCAUUCUAAGUUGAUGAAUUUCAUUGUGCAUCUUAUUAUAUGGUUUAUUAGCUAGUGAAAUUGAAGUUUUCUUUUUUCAAAUGAUAGCAUAAUUGAAAAAAUAGGCAAAUGUCCUAAUAUGGGAAUAAUUAGAUGGGGAAAAUUGUAUGGUUGUCUACCACUUAGAGUAGAAAAGAUGAAACCUUUUUUGGCCAACAUUAAAUCUUAGCAUAAUGUACAAAAUAAUACUUAGGUAAGAAAAAAGAUAGUGAUGAAUCAUAGUUUUAAUUGAUUAUUUAUUGAUUUCUGUUACAUCUUUUGUUUGUUGGUUGGGUAGGUAGGUACAAAAGUACAGUGACAUUCACAUAGAACAGCACAUAGUUUUGAGUUGUGAUUAUUGUUGUACUGCUUUAUUUUACUCAAAUUUUCCCACAAAAAGAAAAUCACCAGUUGUUCUAUUAUUUUAUUGCUCAGCAUUUGAAAUUUAUUGACUCGACUAAUUUAACUUUGCUUGAAUAGAUCAUUUUUCCCAGGCCCUAUAUUAGGAAAUUUCAUUGGAUAUAUUGUUGUUAUUGUUGCUCGAGUAGGCCACUAAGGUAGUAAAGCGUCCCAACCAAAACGUUCUGUAUUUCUAGAAUUCAAACUCAAAAGUUUUAGUAGGCAUUUGGCCAUAAUAUUUUAGAGCUUGAUUUCAAAUCAACGUUUGUUUAUAAAAUCUGCAUAAGUUUAUAUUUUAUAUAAUAAAAAAAAACUCAUAAUUUUAAAUUUUAUAUAUAAAAAAAAACUCAUAUUCGACAUAAAGAGAAUAUCCAAACCAUUUGGGAGGAUUUUAUCAAAUAAUAGCUAAUUAGUACUAUUAUUGAUUUAUUGGACCAAUGAAUCUUUAUAAAUUUUUAUAUAUUUAAAAGUUUGUAAUAAUAUAUAAUCACAAAUAUUUAUUUAUAAAAAAACAUAAAUAUAUAUAAUUUACUAAUUCUACGCUUUAGAAUAUUUUAAGAGCAAUUUUCACAUAUAGCAAACAUUAAAAACAUAUUUGUAUAUAACAUUUAAUUUGAAUUAAUAGUUUGUUGUUUCAUACAAUUUUCCCAAACAACUUUCACAUAUAGCAAACAUAAAAAUCAUAUUUGUAUGUUAUAACUAUAGUUUGCAUAAUUGCGCUCCAUAGCAAAUUUUAUGUUUGCUAUGGAGCUUUUGAUUUGUAUAAUUCGCUACAAACAUCCUAUUUUAUACAAAUUAUUCAGUUUUGUAUAAAUUCAUUUAUACAUUGUAAUUUGUAUAAUAAGAUAUGUAUUUGUAUAAUUACAAGUGUAUAGGACGAAAAUAUAUGUAUUUGUAUUUGUAUAUACACUUUUAUCUCGCUUUAUACAAACAAAAACACAUUUUAUACUGAAAUGUAUAAAAUGACUAAUUGUAUACCGAAAAUAGCUAAUUGUAUAUCGAAUCAGAUGGCAAAAAAAUGGAAUGUUUGCUGCGAAUUACAAUUAAAAUAAACUAUGAGUAUAACAUUUAAUUUGAAUUAAUAGUUUGUUGUUUCAUACAAUUUUCCCAAACAACUUUCACAUAUAGCAAACAUAAAAAUCAUAUUUGUAUGUUAUAACUAUAGUUUGCAUAAUUGCGCUCCAUAGCAAAUUGUAUAUUAACACCUUCUUUUAGUAUUUCAAAAAUCUUAAUAUUUUCAAAUUCUAACUCUUUUUUCUACAUUUCUUUUGCGAUGCCUAUUUAAUUAAUUUUACAAUGCAAAACCACUUUUAUGCUAUGAAAAUUUAAUAUUGUAAAUGUGUUUCUCUAAUCCUACAUGUCAAUUCAUAUUUUUCCAUUAAAUCUAGUUCAAAAGGAUAUAAACUUUUACAUAGUAGAUAACAUAUAAGAAUAGUCUCGCUCUCUAGUCAAUUAAUUCAUCUAAUCUUUUGACUAGGAGAAACAUGUGUCAUAAGUAAACGAUGGCAUGUGUUUUCUAAUCACUAUAACGAGGCUGGUCCAUCUUUUAGUAGACUAAACUGACCAGGAGAAACAUGUGUCAGAAGUGAACGAUGACAUGAAUUUUCUAAUCACUACAACGAGGUUGGUCCAUCUUUUAGUAGACUAAACUCAGGUACAUAAACAUAUAAGAAUAGUCUUGUUCUUCAAGUGGAAAAUCCGCUAACUAUACGACUAAGAGAAAAUGUGUCAUGUUAGAAUUGAAUAUACGACUAAGAGAAAAUGUGUCAUGUUAGAAUUGAAUAUACGACUAAGAGAAAAUGUGUCAUGUUAGAAUUGAAUAUACGACUAAGAGAAAAUGUGUCAUGUUAGAAUUGAAUAUACGACUAAGAGAAAAUGUGUCAUGUUAGAAUUGAAUAUACAACCAAGAGAAAACAUGUCAUAUUAGAGUUGAAUAGUCAAACGUAUUCUCUAAUCACCACGACAAGGUUGGUCCCAAAUUUAGUAGACUAAAGAUUGACAAAGUUGGAACUACUUUUUUUAGUAAGCAUCUGGAAUUGGAUAAUAGAAUGAAUCAAUUCUUUGGAAAAGACUACUACUUUUUUAGUUGGAAAUCAAGCACAAUAACAAUAUAACCAGUGUAGUCCUACAAAAUAGUAUCGGGGGAAAGUAAAGUAUAAGCACACCUUACUCCUACCUAAGAGUCAGAGGUACAGAGACUGUUUCCAAUAGACCUCGACUUUAGAAAAAACAGUCCAAAAAGAAGUAACAAAAGUGAAAACAUAACAAAGCAUACUGAGCAGUAAAACAAAAUAAUACGAUAGUCAAAACACAAGAAUCAAUGGAAAGCAGCAGAAAUCGAAGGAGAAGAAAAGUUCAAAUAAAUUAAAUUACCAAGAUAAAAAAAAAUUAGGGAUUACAAAUGUUCAAAAUUCAACUUUGUAGCUAGUGGAAACAACUAUUAAAUUUGCUCCCAAACAUACAUAUCACUCUAAUGAACUCUUGCUUUGCUUCAUUAUUUGGAGAAAAAAGGUCUCCAAAAAUCACACAUCAAAGGAAAAAAUAACUAAAAUUGCUCUACAUGAGAACUUGCACUAUCUGUUGUAUGCCAUAUUUGAGGAAAAAACCUUCAUAUCUCUGCCUGGAAAUCUUACCUUCCCACUUCAGAAUUCUCAGGUUUCUCUAUAUACUCAAAUAUUGGCACGAAUCAAUCGACGUUUGGCGUGCUUUGUUCUUCAUCACCUUCAACAACAUAUUGUUUGACAGCAACAAAGAUUUU
rnacentral:lncRNA from 1 species